GAUGAACGCUGGCGGCGUGCCUAAUACAUGCAAGUCGAGCGAACAGAUGAGGAGCUUGCUCCUCUGACGUUAGCGGCGGACGGGUGAGUAACACGUGGAUAACCUACCUAUAAGACUGGGAUAACUUCGGGAAACCGGAGCUAAUACCGGAUAAUAUAUUGAACCGCAUGGUUCAAUAGUGAAAGACGGUUUUGCUGUCACUUAUAGAUGGAUCCGCGCCGCAUUAGCUAGUUGGUAAGGUAACGGCUUACCGAGGCAACGAUGCGUAGCCGACCUGAGAGGGUGAUCGGCCACACUGGAACUGAGACACGGUCCAGACUCCUACGGGAGGCAGCAGUAGGGAAUCUUCCGCAAUGGGCGAAAGCUUGACGGAGCAACGCCGCGUGAGUGAUGAAGGUCUUCGGAUCGUAAAACUCUGUUAUUAGGGAAGAACAAAUGUGUAAGUAACUAUGCACGUCUUGACGGUACCUAAUCAGAAAGCCACGGCUAACUACGUG
rnacentral:rRNA from 1 species